rnacentral:rRNA from 1 species
UACGUAGGGUGCAAGCGUUGUCCGGAAUUAUUGGGCGUAAAGAGCUCGUAGGCGGUGUGUCGCGUCGGCCGUGAAAACCUGCAGCUUAACUGUGGGCUUGCGGUCGAUACGGGCAUCACUGGAGUUCGGCAGGGGAGACUGGAAUUCCUGGUGUAGCGGUGAAAUGCGCAGAUAUCAGGAGGAACACCGGUGGCGAAGGCGGGUCUCUGGGCCGUAACUGACGCUGAGGAGCGAAAGCAUGGGGAGCGAACAGG